rnacentral:lncRNA from 1 species
UGACAAGCCGCUGCUGGUGGCGGUGUUCGCCGGUCCUGGGUCUAUGGCGCCACCCCAGAGAUGUCCUCUGUGUCGGCAGACUUUCUUCUGUGGUCGCGGGCACGUUUACAGCCACAAGCACCAGCGGCAGUUGAAGGGGGCUCUGGAGCGGUUUCUACCGCAGGUGGAGGCCGCCCGCAGGGCCGUCCGCGCCGCCCAGGUGGAGUGCUAUGUCCCGGAGCACGACCGGUGCUGUUGGUGCCCGUGUUGUGGCUGCGAAGUGCGAAAACACCUGAGCCAUGGAAACCUGACAGUGCUACACGGGGGUCUGCUGGAACAUCUGGCCAGGUGACAGCUGGGUAACACCCACCUCUCCUGUACACACACUGAGUUGUACUUGUGACUUAAUUGGGGUAUGGAUUGAAUUACCU